ACAAUAACUACCUGGUUCUGGAGGAAUCUAUCACAUUGCGAUAUUCAGCUUAUCUCGUGUCAGAAUCCUGCACAUAAGCUGGAUUGUAACCAAGUUGCCCAGUUUGCUCAAAUGAUACCUAGACCACGUGGCUGAUUAUGUUUUUAAAUUUCAGGAUUUAGGGUCAUCGCCUUAAAUUCGAAGAGAAUUAUGUAACGAGACACUGAGCACAAUUCCACUGCAGUUGAUUUAAACAAAAUAAACAAUAAAAUACA